UUCUAUUGUAUGAAUGUAAGAAAGCAAUCAUAACAAUAAGCAUUGUUAUGCAUUUUUCAACUACAAAACUAGGGUACUGGUUCACUUUCAGCUGGAUUUUGAAUCCAGUUUGUGUCCCUAAAAGUGAGAUCAUCGCCCAUUAUGCAGUAAGCCAAUCUCACACACAGAGCCGAGAUCUUUGCUUUUUCAUGUCUGUGCAGAGAUGGAUGCUGAGUGGCAAAUCCACCAAGCCAGCACACCCUCACUAUGACAGGUGCUAAUUUUUAUACACUUGGAACAAUAAAAAAAUUGUCAUUUCCUGUAGAGGCAACCACCUAAAACUAUAGUCACUGACUUUGCAUUUUCUUGUCUCCAUUUAAAGAUACAGUGCACUGUUAUUUUACCUUGCAUGCUCUAUCAGGAAAGGGCUUACGUGAAUAAGGGCUGAUCUUAGCCUGUGAGCAGGUAUUUUACUAUAUUAAUGAGCACAAAGUUCAGAUGAAGUUGUUCCUUGGCUUUGUAGUUUGACUUAUACUGUUCUUACUUCUCCAGUCACGAUUCUUGGUUUCUGUAGGUUUGGUUAUUCCCUCGUUUUUCAUAAGUUCUUUUUCCUGUCCUGUAGUACAAUGAAUUUUUAACCUUCUCAUGGUACUUUAUUUCAAGAACACUGGAAUAGAAGCCAAAAUUUUUAUACAGUAACUUUGGUAUGUUGUCACAGUUGGCAAAUGAAAGACAGAAAGCAAGAGCCUGCUUGGAAGGAAGUAUACAUAGAGUAGUAUUCAAAGCAAGCUAAUUAAAUACUUGUAUAUUUCAAAAGAGACUUCAACUAUGAACUGUGAGAAUACUCUCAGUUGAGUUGCUUUAGGGACCUGUAUGUGAACAACUAUACCACUAGAUGUAACCCUAAAAUCUGAUGUUGGAAAAAGAAAAUGAAAACCAGACACUCAAUGUCUUCUUUGCAAUUUAACACAGGAAAAAUGAAAUGUAAAGAAAGAUGUUGGUAAACAAUAUUCCUAUCCUUUCUAGUGCUUAUUUAUGUAGCAAAAGAGUUAAUUUUACAAACAUCUUUACCUUACAAUUAUCGUCCUUACUAUUUCUUGAGUCGCUAGAUGGCCUUGCAUGACAGACCACAGAACCUGUGCACCACAUGCUUCAGUCAUUUAACUAAAUGAACUCAGAUGCUGAAUCUUAAAAAUAUUACUCAGCCAUUGCUGUUAAAGUUAAGCAAAAGUAACACUUUACACAGGAGGUAAAAUUUCUCUCCUACUUGUUUGAAUUCCAAUGUUAAAUCAACCACUUAAUGUCCAGAGACCCUCCCAAUACCAGUAAAGUCUCAAAAUCUAAUUUUUCUAAAUAAAUGUCCCACAUUCAUAAUAAUUUAAAAAUGUAAACACUCUUUUAGACAAACAUACAUAUUCAAAACAAUUUUUCUAUAUAGAAACAAAUAAAAAUUCCAAACAAACCACUACAGAAGUAAAAUAGCCAGCAAAAUGGAAUAUCAAGACUUAUACAAUACCGUGUUUAAAAUCCCAAAGAAAUUAUAGGGU